AUGGUUGGACGAAAUAUAUACUGUUUCAUUUAAAAUUUAAAUAGAAUUUUAUUUUUUAGUUAAAAAGCUAAAAUAUAGUCAAAAGACGAGAAGACCCUAUAAAUCUUAAUUGUGCAUAAAUUUUUAAUUUGGAUUGAUUUUUUUAAGUAUAAAUUUAUAUAUAAUUUCAUUGGGGUGAUGUUAAAAUUUAAUUAACUUUUAAUAAUUUUAUUCAUUUAUUUAUGAUUAAGUGAUCCAUUAUUAGUGAUUAUAAAUUUAAGUUACUUUAGGGAUAACAGCGUAAUUUUUUUGGAGAGUUCUUAUCGAUAAAAAAGUUUGCGACCUCGAUGUUGGAUUAAGAUUCAUAUUUAAAUGUAGAAGUUUAAAUAUUAAGUCUGUUCGACUUUUUAUUCUUACAUGAUCUGAGUUCAAACCGGUGUAAGCCAGGUUGGUUUCUAUCUUUGAUUUAAUAAAAUAUUUUAGUACGAAAGGAAUUAGUAUUUAUUUUUUAGAAAUUUAAUUAAUGAAUAAAUUU
rnacentral:rRNA from 1 species